GUCUGUUCCUGCUUCAGUGGCUCCUGAUUUGUGCCCAGCCAGACUGCGGCAGCAGUGAGGUCCAGAGAUGGCCUGGUGGGUUACGGUUCCUCCUGUCUCAUCUGAACGUGGCUCGAGCAGGUGGUCACUUGUGACUGGUUGAGUCUCAGGUACUUGUUACAGGAGGCUGCACUCUGUCCCCACACCAGGCCAGGUCAGAGUUCACCAGGUACAGAGGAAACCUUAGGCCAAACUUAAAUGCGUAUGGAGGCCGCCUGAGGCCAAUCUGAAGCCAUUUAGCAUAGUUACCCUGGAGUGAUGGAGAAGGUUGAGAAGUCAGUUCCACAGGGGAGCUGGGAAUGGCCAGGGAUUAGCUCACCAAUGGGGAAAACCAAAUGAAACCUUCAGCCUCAAUCUCAACAGCAUGCCCCUCGCCCAGUGGGCAGGUUCCCAUCAGCCUCAUUCUGUCGCUGCUCCUGGGGGACUGCCACAUCUCUGCCCAGAGUGCCCACCUUGUUCCAAAACCCUCCCACAGAAGGAGCAUCACGACUGCUGGCUGGGAGUUCACGCCCAACCCUCAUCGCACCCUGUGAGAAAGGCCAGGUGUGCGCCCCUGAUGGCUGAGAACACCAGAGGGCACGACAAGUGCCCCGCCCCAGGCCCUCAGUCAAGGGGAGCUUAGGAUGCCAACCCAGGUGGUCCCGCCCCAGGACAGCCCCUGUCAUUCACCCUGUAGUGUCAGUGAAGAAAGUCAGGUCAAAC
rnacentral:lncRNA from 1 species